CCGCGGGGAUCUGGUCCGGGGAGAUGAAGUGGAUGUGCGUGUCCACUCCCCCGGCGGUGAGGAUCUUGCGUUCGCCGGCGAUGAUUUCGGUGCUGGCGCCGAUCACGAUGUCCACGCCGUCCGUGAUCUGCGGGUUGCCGGCCUUGCCGAUCCUGAAGAUAUGGCCGUCCUUGAGUGCCACAUCGGCCUUGUAGAUGCCGGUGUAGUCCAGGAUCACGGCGUUGGUGAUGACUGUAUCCGGGACGCCGUCAUCUUCAGGAUCCCCGUCGCGUGUCACCUGCCCGUUCUGGCCCAUGCCGUCCCGG
rnacentral:sRNA from 1 species